GGGUCUAGAAAAAGAAAUAGAUCCGUAAGUAGCCAUUUGAGUUCUACAGUGCUUUUGGAAUUUUGGUAAAUCUGUUUUGUUUCAGAAGAAUUAACGAACUCUAAAAUCACUUCGUGCAGCAAUUGUAAGUAUUAUUUAUUGAACAAUUUUACGUACUGUUGCAAAGUGAGAUUCACUGUUCCAUUCAAAUAUAUGAAGACUAUAUGAAGAUGUAACAUGAAAAAAGCUGCCAAAUCAUAGGCACACAAAAUCAUUUCUUCUUUCUCAUAGGCAGAAGAAAAAAAAAAAUUUACUGGAAUUAGCUCAAUGCAAUAUACAGUAAGCACAUGGAAGAACCACUGGUUCUCAUGCUGCAUAAAUGCUAUAUAACAGAAAUAUAGGCCAUCUUCUGAAAUUAACUUUUUUUUCCCCUAACAAGUGUUUUAAACUACUGCACAACCAAUAUCAAACUACUACUAGAUAUUCUAACAUGACUAGAUUUAAUCAAAUACAGACAGUUAUUUGUAAUCAUUAAUGCAAUUUUGAUCUUUAGUGUUUCUUUUUGUUUGUUUGUUUGUUUUUUUAACAUUGCACAGGUUUCAUUCUGAUUCCUGGUAUUACACCACAACUCUAGUUUCUUCAGUUCAGCCAACAGCAAGAGUUCAGGUGUCCAAAACCCCACAAAUCAUGUUAGCGGAACAGCGGAUCAGUAAGCCUACCAGCAGCCUUGUUUUUCUCACAUAUCCAUUGAUAACACAGUGCACAAACCUCCCAGGAAUCCACAAACUUGUAGGCUGAAAGCCACCAAUCUUAAGAGAAUAUAUCCCAUUAUUGCUUCCUUUUCUUAUUUAACUUGGCUGGACAAGAAGUCGCCACUCCAAACUGGCAGAAGUAAAACCUGGCAAACCCAGGUUUACGGUGGAUACAUUUGCUGACACAGCAGUGUCGUUCAGGAUAUAAAUUUCUAGGUUUCUAAGCAAGCAACAAACAUCCUUUUUGAGAGAAUUAUUUUGGCUUAGAAGUCACCUUGCUGGGGUACCUCGCCAAGUAAUGUCAGUAAAAUAUUCUUCCCAAAGACUGCAUUAUAACUUGUACAGACACUGGGGAGAUUUGAUGAUUUAGUAUUAGCAAUAGCACAUCUUUCACACAGCACUCAUCAAGAAGAAGCUGUAAAGAUUUUUUUACAGAGAACGUCUGUAACCAGAACUUCUUUACGUAGUUCAAACCCAAAGAAGCACUCCUCAAAAAUGUUCAGAAUAAAGCUACACAGCUGGCUGCCUUUGGCACGCCAGCCAGUUCAUUUAAAAGAAACUUGUCCAUCACUGUUCUCGGGGUGCACUGCAAGCAGCAGAUUCUUUUGUACAGUCAGUGGUCACCAUAAUUACUUCAGAACUUAAAGGGAAGCACAAACAAUUCUUUACAAAACUGAGACCUGUGGUCUUAAUCUGUGACCAUCUGUGCACAUGGACUUCUAGUACCACCAAUGAAAUUCCACGCAGCUGCAGUAAUCUGUCAAAUGCAAUGCUCAUUACAGGACAGGGGCUGAAGUGUAACACCUGAAUAAUGCCAGAUUGCUUUCCAACACUCUUUGAAGCACAGACAAACCGUUUCCACUGAUAUUUUCUUCAGCUCAGUAAGGAUCUUUUCUCCCUUUUCCUCCCUGAAGUUACUAAAUAUAUAAUGCUUGUGUCACAAUAGCACAAGAUCUGCCAGCAUUUCCUGUGAAAUCCCUUUCUUCAUAAAUUUAACCUGACAGAAAAAAAAAACACCAUGAAGUGAAACGUAACUUCUCUUUAGGUUCAGAAAUAACACCAGCUCUGAUUUGUUUUUAUUUAACAAGUAUCUGCUGAACAAAUAAAUCAAGUGGGGAAAUUUUUUUUCCACUUUAACUUCCAACAGCGUCAUCACCAUGGCUUCCCAGUACAUAUGUAUGUAUACAUACAUAUAUAUAUAUAUAUAUGUGUAUAGAUAGUUAUUUCUGUCAAAUAACUUGACAGAAUAUCAUCUGGUAAACACUUUAUUCAGAAGGUAACCUCUUUACAGUCAGUCUCCACAUUCUCUUAUUAAAAAUGUGUAAUUACAGUUUAAUCUAUGUUUGUUCUAUCUCAUAAUCUACCCUCUGAAUCCACACAAAAAGCCUUUCUACACUGCAUAAACUCAAUAAAUUCAUGACUGAGGUACGUAUGCCUUUUGAGCACAUAUUUACAAAAUAAGCCAUGAAGUCUUCUUCAAAAUUCCGCCCUAUGCCAAGCAGAGCAAUUAUCUUACCUUUAAGCUACACGCAAAUAGAGCAUAUGAUCUGAAGCAGAUCUAUUAACAUUUUGUUUCUCCAAAAGUUUUUGAAGGCCUCAUAAUACACUUACGCAAUCCGAUGUUUAAACUACCUGCAAUUAUUUGGGAGAGUCAUCCAAUGAUUCGAGCACGGCCCCAGCAGUCAGGUCGGCUGGGUUCCAUUAUUGCUAGCUCCGUCACUGACUCUAUGACCUUGAGCAGUUGGUUAACCUCACCUCAAUUUGCUCAUCUAUGAAGGCACACAUUCUGCAAAGUAUUUAAGUAGGCGGAUAGUCACAUUCAAACUGGCAGAACCACUCUGAGACUCUGCAAGGCCUCGGAUGAAGUACACUACUGUCCACCUCCUUACAGGGCGAUGAGAAAUGUAAUUGGUAACUGUCUUCAGGAUGCUGUAAAAUGAAGUAGUCCCAGAGCGUUACCUAUUAGAACGGAUGACUACAACAUGCAUAAAUCAUGCUGAUACUAACAGCAAAGCUCAUUAGGUCUGCAUUAUUUUUUCCCUUUAUUUUUUUUCAGAUGCUGAAAAGGUGACAAUAACAUAAAUGUUACUGCAGUACGGUUGUAGAGGCAUGCGAAACCAGGGAAAUCUGGACUAACAGCUGUGCAUUGUUUCCAAUCCAUCCUAUCAGAAGAAUCCUAUGGAAGACUUUCAAGGGCACAUCUGCUCUACUCUGCAUUUUCUCCCUUUCAGGCUGUGUUUAACGUACCAAACCGUUUCUUAAACAUGUACUGUGUCCAUUAGCGCUACGCGGUCGCUCUCCCUGUCUCAGACCACGUUCAAACACUCAGCUCACACGCCAGGACGCCAGUUGCCUUCGCCAUGGCACAGCAGUGAAAAUCCACUUCGCCUUUCAGAUAACCUCAGGAAAUGAGCUAAGGGAACAGUUACAUAAAAAGGAUGAAUGAGCAACAACAAAAGAGGAAGGCUGGGAUCAUAUAAUCUGAAAACUGGAACUGCCUGCAUUUAUGGUUUCUUAUUUCAGUAAGGGAGGCAGCACUGAAGAGUGGUUAAAGCUCAUGAUUUAUAAGUAAGGAAAUAGAGGUUCUGUUCUCAUUUCUUCCUUAUACUCAAUGUAUGGCCCUGCAUAAGUCAUUUAAGACCAGACUGCAAUUGUCACUUAAUUCAAAUUAAAAAGGCAGUAAGUGUAAAAGUUCUGAAAAAAAUCAAACAUAACCAAUAGUCAAAAUUAUGCCUUCUUUACUGGUGAAGAAAAUGAGGCACACAGCAGUCAACUGUGAUUUUCAGUCACAAAAAUGCCUUUGACUCACACUAAUUUGACUUUAAUUUCUCCCUCAGUGAAUGAGAAUAAAACACUUAAACCAUUUGAAGCACAUUGGAUGUGAGUUAGUUUACAUGACUAUUAACAGUUGGGAUUAAUAUUUGUCACUAAGCCAAAUUAUUGGCAAGAACACAAGUAAUACGAAAGCAUCAUUGAUUCUCAAUCUUGCUGGUCAUUUAUGUUCGCCUCUUUUGUUUUUGAUAAGAUACAGAAGGUUUGACUUUCACACAAAUUAGUAAUUUGUUACUAGAGCUCUAUGACAUGCCUGUAACUAUGGUUGGGCAGAAGAGUUUCACUUUGUUAAAAUCCCAGACCAAAUCUGAGCUCAUCCAGAGAGCUUCUUCCAGUCUGCCCAUAAUGGGAUUUAACUGGACCCUGUCAAAGCCAGGCUAGGUGUUUGACAUUUUUCCAGGAUUUUGGGGUGGACAUCUGGCAUGGCUCGAGCCACUGGAUAAAGGUCUGGUCCUCUUGAGGGAGUAGAAAAUAGUCCCUAGACCUUGAAACCAAAAAUUCUUACACUUUCUCCACGGAGAUCCCU